AUUCCAUUGCUGAAGAUGAGCUUUCUCCAUCCAACCAAGGAGGAUUAAUAUGGACAGAUCUGUAUUUAUGUUAUCCUAGUUUAGCAACACCAACAGAAGAGAGAUCCCUUCUUUCAUCUAGCAUCUAUAUAUCAAUCCUAGGGAAGACCAUAAGUGGCCCAAACAGACACACACCCACCCCUUGGACCAAUCACUAUUGUCAGGAGGAAGGAGCAAUAUGAUUGGUUCAGUCUGGGACAUGUGCCCAUCCCUGUGGCCGGAGAAGGAGGACACCAUGACUGAAAGCCCCAGUAGAGUCCCAUGAAGUAGAGUAAGGAUUCUCUCAAAGGGAAGGGGAACUAUUACCAGACAUAAAAGAGACCUAAAACUUUGCUCCUCCCUGUGGGGGAAAAAAAGUCUGGAAUCCAUGGCAACGUAGAGGCCUCAGGAGUAAGAAUGUUAGCAGUGAAGACUCUCUCCAAGGCUCAGUAUUUCAGAAAACUUAGCAGAAUCCCACAUACACAUGACUUCCAGCAUCACAGACUACCUAAAAUGUCAUUUCCCCUCCCCCUUUUUCUUGAAUGAUAUCAACUGUUGUAAGGAUAUUGUGAAUCAAAAGCUCUGAUUGGCUUUUGAGCAAUUCCACGAAAUUUCUGAAAUGUGUAGGCAAUGCAGGCACCCUCAUCUGACAGUUGUGGUUUCUGAAAUGAAUGGUGGUAUCCAGUUUACAAUCGACUUUGGAAAUGGGUUUAAAGUGAUGGACACAAGUUACAGAUAUAUUCCUUUUUCUAGGAAAAAAAUGUUUCAAAAUGCAGGAUACAUGUGGGACUGGCUAAAAGGAGUCCUCAGUGAAAAGACUGGAAAACCACUGGCGAAAGUCAUGUCUGGAGAAGAGCAGGAAUAGACAGGAUCCACAGCUAGGACCUCGGCGGAGAAAAGCAACACCAGCCCAGUAUAGAGAAGCCACCCGCUGGAGGAAGUGGGAUCAGGAGCUCCAAGCUGGGGAAGAGGGCCUGAAGCAGGGCCACUGAUCAGUCAAUAAGCACCAAUAGGGCUGCACUGGUUGCCAAAAUAUUAAAACAUAGCUGUACCGUUUGGUAAAGAAUCAAUUCCUCUAAGAUCUCCCGAAUGCCUGCCUGAGACCCUGGG
rnacentral:lncRNA from 1 species